AUUGAACGCUGGCGGCGUGCUUAACACAUGCAAGUCGAUCGGUAACGCGGGGGCAACCCUGGCGACGAGAGGCGGACGGGUGAGGAACGCUUGGGAAUCUGCCUAUCAGCGGGGGACAACACGGGGAAACUCGUGCUAAUACCGCAUACGCUCUACGGAGGAAAGCCGGGGACCGCAAGGCCUGGCACUGAUAGAUGAGCCCAAGCCGGAUUAGCUAGUUGGCGGGGUAACGGCCCACCAAGGCGACGAUCCGUAGCUGGUCUGAGAGGACGAUCAGGCAAGCUGUGACGGCGCCACGGCCCAGACUCCUGCGGGAGGCAGCAGUGGUGAGUAUUGGACAAUGGGGGAAACCCUGAUCCAGCGACGCCGCGUGGGUGAAGAAGGCCUGCGGGUUGUAAAGCCCUUUCGGUAGGGACGAAAGCUCUCGACCUAACACGUCGGGAGGUUGACUUAACCUACAAAAGAAGCACCGGCUAACUCUGUGCCAGCCGCCGCCGUAAUAC
rnacentral:rRNA from 1 species